rnacentral:piRNA from 1 species
UUUUUUUUCAAGCGGAGUGUC